UAAGACUGCUCUUCUGACCCUGGGAAGGGGUGAGGGAAGAGGAGGAGGAGCUGCUGCAGGCAUCUAAAGCCUGGGGUCCCAACAUAGGUCUGCAUUUCCCACACUAGGGCUCCCUGAACUCCUGCUCAGCCACGGAUGAAAUGGACUCUGAGAUGAUGGAAUCCAGCUCUGAGCCAUGUUGGGAAGGUCACUUGACCUUGCUGAGUCUCAGUUUUCUCAUCAAUAAAAUGAGAAGUUUGGACUAGAGCAGGAGUUCUUAAUCUGGGGUCUACAGAUAGGAGUCCAAAGAUCGAUUUGAACUUAAGAAAUAGAUGUUAUAAUUUCCACUCAUCUCUAGGUGAAAUUUGGUAUUUCCUUCAAUAUUUAUAAAUGUUACUCUGAAACAGGAUCAAUAGACUUUACCAAUCUGCUGAAAGGUUAAGACCCCUAGAGACUAAUCUCUAAAAUUUCCUUGGACUCCAGAUGACCCAUUUCAGUGUACAAAGUAAGAAACCAAUACCUUUUGGCACACUGGAUAGACUAUCAGUUCUGGAGUCAGAAGGAUCUGAGCUAAAAACCAGCCUCAGACACUUGGAAAUUUAUUUAACCCCAUUUCUGAGAGAGACAGACACACAGAGACACAGACACAGAGAGAAACCAAAGUCCUGUUUAUACCCAAAUGACUUUCUACGUAAAGGUAGGGGGGAGAUGGGAUUUCCCAUGGCAACCCAAAGUACUAUAGUAUGAGAGAGAUUUUAGGAAGUAUUACCUUCGGGGAAAACCCAUACCUCGACUAAUCUACCAAACCAUCCCCGGGGGGACCAUGUGUGUUCAUAUUGUUUACAAGCCUCUCAUUUUAUAGAAAAAAAAAAUUGAAGUUCAGAGAGAUUCUGACUCACCAGAGUUCACAGCAGAAUUAGCCUUCCAAGCCCUCAAACAAAAAGCUUGGUUGCCUAGGAAGAGGCUUUCUACACCCUGACUGGUACCAAAGGUUCCUGUGAUUAGCGCAUCCUUCCCACAUUUUCCCAAGAAUGUUUGAGAGGGUUUAAGAGUUGGUCUGGAUUGGGGGGCGGGCUGGGGGAGAAGAGCAGUGGAAAAGGAGGUAGGGCUUCUAGGCAUCUUUGACUCUUGUGAUCAGUCUUUCUCACUGUAAAAUUAAGGGUUUCCUGCUCUCUCUUGAUCCAAAUAUCUCUUAAGCUACUGCUUGGGUGGGAGGUUGGGGUCAACAGAGAAUUCUGGGCCUGGUCUGGGGAGCCAGCCCUGUAAAUGGCUGGGGUGCCCUGAUAAUUUCCCAUUUUCCUUAUCAGGACUUAAGGAGAGAUGGGUGGGGUGAUGCAGACUUGGGGUGAGGGAAGGAGGAGGAGGAAGAGGAAGAAAAGAGAAAUAACAGAAGAGGAGGAAGAGGAAGAACAGGAGGAGGAGGAAGAAUAUGAGGAAGAGGAAGAGGAGAAAGAGAAGUAAAAAGAGGAGGAAAAAGAAUGAUACUAGAGGGAAGAGCCACAAAAUACAAGAGCCAGAAGCCAGCAACCCAAGCCAACCUUCUCCUUCUACCGGCAAAGCCACGAGAGCCCAGAGAGUGACAUCCCUCUAAGGGCAUCCUGGGAGGAAGGGGCGAAGACUGCGAUGUAUCCAAUGGCCCUUCCACCACUCCACACUGCUCUAGGAAGAUGAGAAAACUGAGGAUGAGAAGCGGCAGCUUGCCCAGAGUAUCGCAGCCUGUCGAUGCCUGAGGCAAAACUGGCAAUAUGGAGCCCCUCCGGAGAUUAACCCUCCGCCCCAGCCCCACCCCGAAGC